GCAUUGCUGGGUAGCUAAAUGCGGAAGAGAUAAGUGCUGAAAGCAUCUAAGCACGAAACUUGCCAAGAGAUGAGUCAUCCCUGACUUUAAGUCAGUAAGGGUUGUUGUAGACUACGACGUAGAUAGGUCAGGUGUGUAAGUGUAGUGAUGCAUUGAGCUAACAGAUACUAAUUGCCCGAGAGGCUUAACUAUACAACGCUCAAG
rnacentral:rRNA from 1 species